rnacentral:rRNA from 1 species
GAUGAACGCUGGCGGCGUGCCUAAUACAUGCAAGUCGAGCGAACAGAUGAGGAGCUUGCUCCUCUGACGUUAGCGGCGGACGGGUGAGUAACACGUGGAUAACCUACCUAUAAGACUGGGAUAACUUCGGGAAACCGGAGCUAAUACCGGAUAAUAUAUUGAACCGCAUGGUUCAAUAGUGAAAGACGGUUUUGCUGUCACUUAUAGAUGGAUCCGCGCCGCAUUAGCUAGUUGGUAAGGUAACGGCUUACCAAGGCGACGAUGCGUAGCCGACCUGAGAGGGUGAUCGGCCACACUGGAACUGAGACACGGUCCAGACUCCUACGGGAGGCAGCAGUAGGGAAUCUUCCGCAAUGGGCGAAAGCCGGACGGAGCAACGCCGCGUGAGUGAUGAAGGUCUUCGGAUCGUAAAACUCUGUUAUUAGGGAAGAACAAAUGUGUAAGUAACUAUGCACGUCUUGACGGUACCUAAUCAGAAAGCCACGGCUAACUACGUG